rnacentral:rRNA from 1 species
CCUAACACAUGCAAGUCGAACGGCUCUUCGGAGCAGUGGCGGACGGGUGAGUAACGCGUGGGAACGUGCCCUUUGGUUCGGAACAACACAGGGAAACUUGUGCUAAUACCGGAUGAGCCCUUCGGGGGAAAGAUUUAUCGCCAUUGGAGCGGCCCGCGUUGGAUUAGGUAGUUGGUGGGGUAAAGGCCCACCAAGCCGACGAUCCAUAGCUGGUCUGAGAGGAUGAUCAGCCACACUGGGACUGAGACACGGCCCAGACUCCUACGGGAGGCAGCAGUGGGGAAUCUUGCGCAAUGGGCGAAAGCCUGACGCAGCCAUGCCGCGUGAAUGAUGAAGGUCUUAGGAUUGUAAAAUUCUUUCACCGGGGAAGAUAAUGACGGUACCCGGAGAAGAAGCCCCGGCUAACUUCGUGCCAGCAGCCGCGGUAAUACGAAGGGGGCUAGCGUUGCUCGGAAUUACUGGGCGUAAAGGGCGCGUAGGCGGACAGUUUAGUCAGAGGUAAAAGCCCAGGGCUCAACCUUGGAACUGCCUUUGAUACUGGCUGUCUUGAGUUCGGGAGAGGUGAGUGGAAUGCCGAGUGUAGAGGUGAAAUUCGUAGAUAUUCGGCGGAACACCAGUGGCGAAGGCGACU